rnacentral:lncRNA from 1 species
ACUUUUCUCAAGUUUCCAUGGCAAUGGCAGCCAUUUUGAAAAUUCCAAGUACAGUUGGUACCCCAGCGCACCACUGCCAACAUUUACAUAAACUUUCAAGAGGUUGCCUCUUAUAACGAAAGAUUUAGAAUUUUGAUUUUUUUUUACAUUUUUGCAGUUUCCAUGGUAACGGCGGCCAUUUUUUACCAUUCCAAUGUCUCUUGCACAACUUCACAUGGGGGUUCAUAUUAUGGUAUAGUUCCAUCAACUUGGCUCUGACCAAUCCCGAGAAAUAGCAUGGACAAAAUGUGUGGAAGAAUAAAAAUAAUAAAAAGAAAAAAAAGAAACGUACAAUAACAAGAUGUCACCCCAACUUCGUUGAGGGUGCCAUAAAAAGAAAAAAAAGAAACGAACAAUAACAAGAUGUCACCCCAACUCCGUUGAGGGUGCCAUAACUAGAUUUGCCAUUGCAAGCAAUAGCGGAUGGCACCCUUCCCACAUUGCCACUAAACUGCAGUCAGUUGGAAAUUCCAAAGUCAAAGACUGCAUCUACAGAUGUUUAUUAACAUUGUUGUAAAGUUUCCUCAAUUUCGAAGCAUUUUGAAGUUUUUGAAAUUUAUGUAGUUUCCAUGGCAACUGAGGCCAUUUUGGAAAUUUUGAAGUCAAAAGUCUGAUCUUUACUUGCCAUUGGUCAUUUAUAAUGAGUUUCAUUAAGUUUGGAGCAUUUUGAGAUUUUUGGACAUUUUUGCUGUUUCCAUGGUAACAGUGUCUAUUUGGAAAAUUCCAGCAACAGUUUCAACAUCGACUGAUGCCAUGUUAUAUAUUCAUAAAGUUUCUUUGGGUUUGAUCUUACAUCCCUUUAUAAAAAGGCUGGUUUGAUGUAUUUUCCAAUAGGUUCAAUGUUAAACUUUUCUCCAGUUUCCAUGGCAAUGGUACAGAUUUUGCAGAAGCUAAGUACUGUUGGUACCUCAGGGCUACACUGUCAACAUUUACAUAAAGUUUCAUUAGGUUGGCUCUUAUAAUAAAAGAUUUAGAAUUUAGAUUUUUUUUUACAUUUUUGCAGUUUCCAUGGUAACGGUGGCCAUUUUUUACCAUUCCAAUGUCUCUUGCACAACUUCACAUGGAGGUUCAUAUUAUGGUAUAGUUCCAUCAACAUUGGUCUGACCAAUUCCGAGAAAUAGCGUGGACAAAAUGUGUGGAAGAAUAAAAAUAAGAAAAAAAAGAAACGAACAAUAACAAUAUGUCACCCCAACUCCGUUGAGGGUGCCAUAAUAACUAGAUUUGUAAUUGCUAGCAAUAACGGAUGGCACCCUCGUCCCCCCAUUGCCAGGCGAGCGGCAGCCAUUUUGAAAAUUCAAAAGUCAAAGAGUGCAUCUAGUCAUGCAAGUUAUCAUUUUUGUAAAAAUUCAUUAAAUUUGGAGCAAUUUGAAAUUUUGGACAAUUUUGUUGUUUCCAUGGUUACGGCGGCC